UAUAUAUAUUCCACUAGAGGGCUUUCAUAUUGUCUGACUUGUUCUCUCAAUGUACUUACAAACACAAUAUUACCUUUCCGUUUGUGGUGCCUUGUAUGUGAUGGCUUGAACCUUACUAUUCCUAAUUUUCUAACUGGUUGAGGAUAUGUUUGCUCUGCUUGAUUAUCUCCAUAUUUCACACAUAUGCUAGUUUCAUAUUUUAUAGUCUUCCAUUUCUACAACAAACGUUUGUCAUAAAUGCGAAGCUGACACAGCAAUGAUGUAAUUUGCAUUAUCAUAUAAGCGUACUUUCUCCGUCUCUUUCUCCAUCGAUAUAUAUUCCCCUUAUUUAAGUCAUCAUAUAUUAUAUCUGACCAUAGUGUCUUAAAUCUUUGGUGGUCAUUUGUGUUUUUGGGGUUUUGAUGAGUAUAUGAAUUUGGUUCUGGAUGAGGCCAAAGAAGUUAGCAUCAAGAAAAAAACCAGAAAGUCAUUGGAUUUGGUGAACAACCUUGGUACCAUUGCAAGGGUGGCACCAAGGAAUUAAUGGAAGCCUUGGCUGCUGGUGCUUAUCUUGUUGCAGAUAAGGUCAUUGUUACAACCAAGCACAAUGAUCAUGAGAAGUAUGUGUGGGAGCCACUCCGAUUCAAUGUUUAUGAUGUAUUUCCUUUUGCCUUUGCGAUUGUACCUGGUGAAACUGUAGACAAU